UACAGAGGUCCCAAGCGUUGUUCGGAUUCACUGGGCGUAAAGGGUGCGUAGGCGGUCGGGUAAGUCUGAUGUGAAAUCUCACAGCUUAACUGUGAAACUGCAUUGGAUACUAUCCGGCUCGAGGAAUGGAGGGGAGACUGGAAUACUUGGUGUAGCAGUGAAAUGCGUAGAUAUCAAGUGGAACACCAGUGGCGAAGGCGAGUCUCUGGACCACAACUGACGCUGAGGCGCGAAAGCUAGGGGAGCAAACAGG
rnacentral:rRNA from 1 species